rnacentral:rRNA from 1 species
UGAGGAAUAUUGGUCAAUGGGCGCAAGCCUGAACUAGCCAUCCCGCGUGCAGGAAGACGGCCCUAUGGGUUGUAAACUGCUUUUCCAGGGAGAGAAACCUGCGCACGUGUUGCGCAAUUGACGGUACCCUGGGAAUAAGCACCGGCUAACUCCGUGCCAGCAGCCGCGGUAAUACGGAGGAUGCAAGCGUUAUCCGGAUUCAUUGGGUUUAAAGGGUGCGUAGGCGGACUAUUAAGUCAGUGGUGAAAGCCUGCAGCUUAACUGCAGAACUGCCAUUGAUACUGAUAGUCUUGAGUUUGGUUAAGGUAGGCGGAGUGUGUAAUGUAGCGGUGAAAUGCUUAGAUAUUACACAGAACACCAAUUGCGUAGGCAGCUUACUGAGCCGACACUGACGCUGAGGCACGAAAGCGUGGGGAUCGAACAG